AGAGCGAACGCUGGCGGCGUGCUUAACACAUGCAAGUCGAACGCGCAGCAUUCUGUAGCAAUACAGGGUGUGGGCGCGUGGCGAACGGGUGCGUAACACGUGGAUAACCUUCCUUCAGGUGGGGAAUAACCCAGCGAAAGUUGGGCUAAUACCGCAUAAAAUUACGAGGGUACAUGCUCUUGUAUUCAAAGGCGCAAGUCGCCAGAAGAGGGAUCCGCGGCCGAUUAGCUUGUUGGUGGGUGAUGGCCUACCAAGGCGACGACGGGUA
rnacentral:rRNA from 1 species